CACAAACUGAUGGCUUUCCAGUCGCGCGUUUCAAACUAUGACAUCUUUCUUCAGAGGGAAGCAGGCGCAAAGACGUUAUGUAUUUCAUGCCUGGCAGAGCCACCAGCGAACGCAGCAGCGGUUCGAUUGGCCGCCCCGGAGCGCCCGCGGCGGGGCAGAGAGUGCCCGGAACACGGGCGGCGGCGAGUGGCGCCCGGCGGGGCACCGUUGCCGGCGGCACCGGUAGCGCGGCGGCGGGGGAGGAGGAGGGCCUGGAACGUGUUAAUUCGUCACUUCCCCGCUCUCCUGGGCCGGAAGAGAACGGCGGUCGCCAUGGCGAGCCGCGGGCAGGUUUUGAAGCUUUUUAAAUUACUACACAGAACCCGGCAAGAAGUUUUUAAAAAUGAUACCAGAGCUCUUGAAGCUGCAAGACAAAAGAUAAAUGAAGAAUUCAGGAAUAACCAAUAUGAGACAUCUGAAGAGAAGAUAAGUGAGCUUCUGAAAGUAGGUUCAGAUGUUGAAGUGAUUCUCAGAACUUCUGUUAUUCAGGCAGUUCACACAGAUUCCGACAAAAUAUGACAAGAGAGAAGAUCUGGGAAACUGGUCAGCCUCACCUUGAUAUCUGGGAAGCUGGCUGAGCCACUCAUGGAAGGUGUUUCCAGAUGUUCUAAGAACGGCAUGGGGACUGGGAGUUGUCAGCAAGGAUUUACAAAGGGGACAUCUUCUCUGACUGAUAUCCUUUUACAGUGAAAUGACUUGACUUAGUGGACAAGGGGAGAGUAGUGGUGUUUGUCCGUUUUGACUGUAGCAGAGCUUUAAUAUUGCUUCCUUUACAAUCUCCAUAAAUAAAAAGUGAUACAAUUGCCACCACCUAAUUCUGCAGACUUCUGAGAGACAUGAUGGCAAUGAGGUUUGUGCGGAAGGAAGAAGUCUUCCAGAGUCUGAUACUGACCAGGAAAAUUUUGUCCUGCAGCAAAAAAUGUGGAGUAUGUCUGUACACACAGUGUAUUUGACCUGCUUAUGAAUGCAAGAGGUGUCAUUAUCCAGUCUCUUGCCAAUUCUUCUUUUUUGUUGUUUUGUUUUGGAGGUUUGUUUGGUUUGGUUUUUGUUUGUUUGCUUUCUGUAUCUGUUUUGGAUAGAUAUAAGCUUUGCUUCUCUGUAAUUGAUCUUACUGCAGUAAGAACAAUACAAUAAUCUUGAAACAGCCAUUUCAGUUUGAGAGCUGUGUGUCUGGAAUAUAUAUUGAAGUGAGAAAUAUUUUGUCUUGAUAAUGUAUUGAAUCACCAAUUUAAGAUCAGGAAUGCUUAGAAAAGAAAUCCAGAGCAUCAUGAUAGAAGUUCACAGAAUAAUAUUGAACAAUACAAAAAAAAUGCAUAGAAUGGAUAGAUAUUCUUACUUGUCCUGGUUAAUUUAAAAUGUAAAGAGUAUUCAGUAAAGUUGGAAUUUACAGUCAAAGCUAAUACCAAAAAAGUACUUUUUUAGUUUACACAAUGAAUAAUUCUUAAAGGUCCUGGCAAUGAAUAUUUUUUUGUAAACUGGUCAGUUACAGAACAUUAUUUCUAUGUGCCAUUCUUUGAGCAGGCUUCUAGUGUGUUUGCAUCUUUUCUAAGAAUCCAGCUUUGAUUAUUUAUAUAGCACUCUGAAUUACGCAGUCCUGGUACAGCUCUUUAUGUAUUAUUAAUGUCAGAGGUAGCACAGAGUAAGCCAUUAGAAAAUAUCUGAAACUAAAAGUUCAGAAUUUUUAGGGAGUUCAGGUAAUUGUCAUCAUAUUUUGAUAGCAGUUUAUGGUGAAUAGCAUCAUCAGUGUAUUGUGUAAAAUUUUACCUAUAAAUGGGUGUGGUUUCCACUACUGCUUCACUUUGUUGAAUCUCUCACCCUACGGUUCCCAUCCUUCCUUGUUUGUAAAGAAACAUUGUCUGAGAUUAAAAUGACGAAAAAAGUCGGAAGUGGGGCUUCAGCUUCCAGUUGAAUCUAUGGCUAGGUGGUGUUGUGGUUUAACCCCAGCCAGCAGCUAUGCCCCACACAGCCACUUGCUCACUCCUCACAGUAGGAUGGGGGAGCAAAAACGUAAGCAAACUCAUGGGUUGAGAUAAAACCAGUUUAAUAGGUAAAGCAAAAGCCACAAACACAGAGAAGCAAAGUAAGAAGAAAUUCAUUCACUACUUCCGAUGGGCAGGCAGGUGUUCAGCCAUACCCAGGAAAGCCGGGCUUCAUCACACCAAAUGGUUACUUGGGAAGACAAACACCAUCACUGCAAAUGCCUCCCCGUUCUUCCUUCUUCUUCCAGCUUUUGCUGCUGAGCACAGUGCCAUGUGUGCUCAUACCCAGGAAAGAUCUUCUACAAGACAAUACUCCUUACUUUGAUAAACCAUCAAAAAAGCGUGAAUCCCCAGAACAUUAAAAUCCUGUGAGGAGAUCUCUGGAUACCUGUGUUAAAGCUAAAUUUUAAAAACAGUUAAGUGUUGUUACCAGGAAAAGAGGGACUGAAACCAAGACACCAAUGUUAUUGUGUGCUGUGAUAUCAUCAUGCACUUCUAUGGAAGAUACUAAUACUUGCACAGAAACUCAAGACUCACAGUUCUUUUAAAAAUACACUGGUGAACUGUGUUAUUUCAGCCAGGAAUGUUUUUAAUUAUGACAGUUGUCAGAUACUGUUUCCUAGCAACACAGAGUUUUUCAAAACCAAAUACAAGUUAAAUGGAGUUCUUAAUCCUGAUAAUAUUUAUUUAUCAGUCUAUUGUCAAUCAUAUGCUGCUUUGAAGUAAUGUGACACCAUCAAAAGCAUGAUUUCUGAAGCUGUCAUUAAUUGUGCACUAGUAUACUGUGAUGUUUCAGACGGGUCUUAAGGCUUAUCUGAAUAAAUUAUUGAGAUUUUACA